UACAGAGGUCUCAAGCGUUGUUCGGAUUCAUUGGGCGUGAAGGGUGCGUAGGCGGCGCGGUAAGUCGGGUGUGAAAUCUCGGAGCUUAACUCCGAAACUGCAUUCGAUACUGCCGUGCUUGAGGACUGGAGAGGAGACUGGAAUUUACGGUGUAGCGGUGAAAUGCGUAGAUAUCGUAAGGAACACCGAUGGCGAAGGCAGGUCUCUGGGCAUUAAACUGACGCUGAGGAGCGAAAGCAUGGGGAGCGAACAGG
rnacentral:rRNA from 1 species